CGAUGUGGCGUUAGUAUUUUCCAAUGAAAUUGUAGCUGGACGUAGCUGCUUGGACUUUCAAGUAGAUGCGUGGAUAUUAAAAGAGUGAGCGAUGUCCCAGGGCGUUUCGCGUUGCGGUGGCGAAGGGUGACUAGGUGGUGGGGGGACCUGAUAACGAACAUCGAGGGCAUCGAAAGUAUGUGUGUGUAUGUAUGUAAUUAUGU
rnacentral:lncRNA from 1 species